UUGCAACUGGGCUCUGAUACCAUUAAAUGUAGCACCCCCAAACCUGGCCCAGACGUUAAGGCUGAAUCCGAUGUGCCACAUUAAAGUCAAAAACCCGUGUUCCCUUUUUAGUGUUUUAAAAACUGACUUUUGUUAAACUAACCAAGUGAAUGGAAGCUGGGCACUAGGUAGGUAUCCAUAACAGAGGAGGUGAGCCAUGAAGGCUGCUUAAGUACCAAGCUCUCCAAUUGGAUCCAAUCCUAGACAUGUCCACAUCCAUUUCCACACUUGGUUAUAACAAGUUGAAAUUUC
rnacentral:lncRNA from 1 species